rnacentral:rRNA from 1 species
UACGUAGGCACCAAGCGUUGUCCGGAAUUAUUGGGCGUAAAGAGCUCGUAGGCGGUUUGUUGCGUCGGCUGUGAAAUCCCGAGGCUCAACCUCGGGUCUGCAGUCGAUACGAGCAAACUAGAGUGUUGCAGGGGAGACUGGAAUUCCUGGUGUAGCGGUGAAAUGCGCAGAUAUCAGGAGGAACACCGGUGGCGAAGGCGGGUCUCUGGGCAACAACUGACGCUGAGGAGCGAAAGCGUGGGGAGCGAACAGG